rnacentral:rRNA from 1 species
UACGUAGGUGGCAAGCGUUGUCCGGAUUUACUGGGCGUAAAGAGCGCGCAGGCGGUCGUACAAGUCGAAUGUGAAAGCCCCCGGCUCAACUGGGGAGGGUCAUUCGAUACUGUUCGACUCGAAGGCAGGAGAGGGAAGUGGAAUUCCGGGUGUAGUGGUGAAAUGCGUAGAUAUCCGGAGGAACACCAGUGGCGAAGGCGACUUUCUGGCCUGUUCUUGACGCUGAGGCGCGAAAGCUAGGGGAGCAAACGGG